AUUGAACGCUGGCGGCAGGCCUAACACAUGCAAGUCGAACGGCAGCACAGAAGAGCUUGCUCUUUGGGUGGCGAGUGGCGGACGGGUGAGUAACACGUAGGAAUCUACCCAGUAGUGGGGGAUAACCUGGGGAAACCCAGGCUAAUACCGCAUACGCCCUGAGGGGGAAAGCGGGGGAUCUUCGGACCUCGCGCUAUUGGAUGAGCCUGCGUCGGAUUAGCUAGUUGGUGGGGUAAGGGCUCACCAAGGCGACGAUCCGUAGCUGGUCUGAGAGGAUGACCAGUCACACCGGAACUGAGACACGGUCCGGACUCCUACGGGAGGCAGCAGUGGGGAAUAUUGGACAAUGGGCGCAAGCCUGAUCCAGCCAUGCCGCGUGUGUGAAGAAGGCCUCGGUUGU
rnacentral:rRNA from 1 species